rnacentral:lncRNA from 1 species
GUUUAUUUCAGAACACAUGGUAGCUCAAGUAUUAAGUGCAUAAGUAGAAAAUCUAAACAAACCAUGUUUUUUAGUUCAAAAUACACUUCUUUUUUUUUUCAGUAUACAAUCAUGUUUUAUUUGAAAAGAUGUCUACGCUGUAUUGAAUACCAACACAGGUGAUGAAGAUAUUACAGCUGUGUCCCAGCAAUACUGAGUACCAAUGGUAUGUCACAAAGACCAGAAAUAUCUUCUAUUAACAUCAAACCUUCACAUCCAUCACAUAAAAGCAGUUAAAAUUUAUACAAGAUUAAUUUUGCUUUCCCUGUCUUUGCUCAGAAGCAGAAGGAGGGUCUUAGAGACUGGUCAGUCUUACUUCCUAUACUAAAGCAAACUCAGGAGUCUCUUCUAUUGAAAGGUUCUUGGUCCUACAGUGGCUGAGUCUCUGGUAUCUUGUGACAUCCAACAACGUUCUCAGCAUCUGGGAUGAAAUCUCCAUUUCCAGAAAGGUGGGGCUGAUCUGAGGGCUUGAGUCCUAGGGAGAUGAGGACUUGGGUCCUCAGCUCAUCGGAGGCUGAGAUGGUUUGGAGACUUGCAAAAAUCAAAGUAUCUUCCCAGAACUGAAGGUACAGUGGAUGCUUUGGACUAGCCUGGAAUGUGUAUGUAUUGACUGCAGUUGCUAAUUGGCAACUCCAAAAGGACUCCUGCCUCUGUGAUGUAACAGUUCCAGACUCCUUUGCCUCUUAACAGUAAUGGGGACUGGCCAGGGCAAACCCAUGGUAACAGUUGCUAAAGCUGGUGAUACUGUCUCGGCUUUGCUCCAUUUUCUAAGCAUGUUGUCUUUUGAAUCAUCCAUGAUAAAAAUUAUGCUAAAAAAUUUGUUUUCCAAAAGCAGAUGCUUCGAGGGGCCAUGGCUUGUCCUGUAUCUUCCCUUUGGUACUGCUGGCAAGUGGAGAGAUCACCAUGGCUGGCUCAAAUCUUCCAGAGAAAAUGGACUUCAGAGAGAAUGGGAACAACCUACAGGGAACAGUACAAUUCUUUAG